GGGGGUGAUUGGUCUCGACAGCGGAUGUCGAGUGAGGAGAAGCGGGCCGAGGAAGGCAACGAUGAUCUCGUUAACCACCCGUUGCAAAAAAAUCAAGCGCCGACUCCAGUCAGCGCGAGUUCGCCCUCGCCGCCUGAGCGAGCCCGAACUCCGUCAGCCCGGGUAAGUUCCCGUCCCGGAUGCUGGCGUCGACAAGGGGACUCACCUGCGGUGCCGGCCACGGGCACCGCGGGGACACCUCACAGUGGCUGGGCCUGUCACACCAGCUUGUUCGCGUGACUGGUGAGGCCGAGUAGAGACCUAGCGAACUGCGCCCGGAGAAGGACUCACAACACACCGUUGGACGCGGGUUCGAUUCCCGCCACCUCCACAA
rnacentral:tmRNA from 1 species